ACGUUAAAUAUCCUGGUAAAGCCUACAGACAUCAUAAAUACUAAUAAACCAGUCCUUGUAAACCUCAGUACUUUCUGAUUCAGAACAUUUUAAAAAGCGCUUCAGGGUUUCUGGAGAAAGACUCCAGAAGAUGUACAAUGAUGUAUCCAGGAAAAAAAGCUAUAUACAUUUAGAGAAGAUUUCAUAGUAAGGCUCUAGUUCUCCUUUCUCCAAGUCUGCCCAUAGUUGUACAGUUUCACAGUAAGGUGGAUUUGCUUUCCUCAGGCAGGAGAAAUGCCACAAAGAACUGUUAAAAUAGGAACACAGCAGUGACCUAUUUUCAGUACUUCCAUUCUUAUUUCUAAGUCUAUUAUAUACAGUAUAAUGAACAUUGUAAUGAACAUUCAGCAGUGAAAAGACAUCAAUAACCGACGCAAGCACAUUUGCUCACAUUCCGAAUGCAACAUUAAAAAUCAGCUAGGAGACUGGACAAAACCAGCGAUGGGUCAGAGGCUGACCUGCAGAGCACUUCAACCUGCUUAGGUUAGAGCUAUCUGACCACAUGAAAUGAGUUGGUGACCAGGCCAGAGUGGACACAUGUCAGCCUCUCUUGUUUUAUUUUGUUUACAUAGUGAAAAAACACUGCAGGAGCUUUGACAACUUUAAUGCAUGGCUGCCACGGAUAUGGAUGGAAAAGGCAACGACUAUGGACUUUUUGAAAAGUUGUAUUCAGUAAUGGGAUUGAAUCACAUUGGAGAAGAGGCACAGAGAAGCUUGCAGUGUAUCCUUCCUAAGGGUGUUGUCAUUAUGGUAUUUACAAACACUGAGAUGUGUCAUAGUAACUAAUAUAAAAUAGAACUACCAUCUUUCUACCAUCUCAUCUGCUUCUGAAAGGUCAAUCUUUCUAUUUGAGAGGGGAAAAAAAUCCUUCACCAUUUAGUAGGCUUUUGCAAAGCUGGGAUUAAACUCUUUGAUUCCAAAAGUAAAAACUGGAAGUGAUUUAUUAACAAGCAUGGCUUAUUUUUGCUAGUUUAGCAGCUUUUUCAAGAAAGGUCUGUUUAUCUUUGGCAGCCACUCACAGUUAUGUAGCCUGUCUUCCUCCACAUACAUGUAUUUCUGAGAAAACUUCAAGAAUGCUAGAAUCUGUCAAAAACUAAUCGUCUGACCACGUACUUCCAUUUUACAAUAAACUACUAACUUCUAGGAAGGAACUGCUUUAGAGUAAUUUGGUGUACAAUACAAACUUCUUUGAAGAACUUCAAAGCUGCUGCAAGAGUAAUGGGAACUUCAGGUCAAAAAGAAGUCAGAGAAGAAAACGAAAGGAGGUGAAGAGCUUAGUGAAACAGAAGCAGGUUCUGGAUGUGACCCAAAUAAUUGUCUUGCAAAUGAGAAGAGAGGCAAGAAAGAAACCACUGGAGUGUAAUAACAAAAAUACAGUGAUUGUAAUCGACAUUAACAUAAAAUGGAAGCAACCAAUGUGAACAUACAACUAACAGCAGAAGUCAUGUAUAACAAGAUCUGCAUACUGGCCUUCAUAUUCUGUUGGAUGAUGGUGAAUAUCAUGACUCAUCUAGACAAACGCAGAAUAUAGAAGAGACACUUGUACCAACUGCUUCCUCCCAACAAGGAAAAACUAGUUCUUAGGAUUCAUUUUGUAAAGCAAGUGAUGUGCUUUGCACACCAUCCCAAGCGCUUGCUGCAAAACCGCAUGAGAAAGUCUGAAAAAUGUGCAUGGGACUGGAAAAUAAUGUUUCUGGAUGAGGAGCAGAACCUCUGCUAAUAAGGUCCCACAGUGCACACAGGGCAUAGGCUUCAAGUAUCCUGGGAGACCAGAACCUGUCUGACAGCUUUGGUUUAGGUCCACAGGGGAGGGUACGAAACACAUUGUCAGUUGGGUGCUGCUGACCAGCUACAAAGUAUUUUCAUCUGUCUUUCCUGAAACCAUCUUGGCAAGACAACCCCAAUAAUUACCACCACCUCUCCCCCCUCCUUUUUUUUUUUUUU